GCUGAACAAGGAGUCAACAGAGCAUUAGGGUGCAGAAGGCUGUCUUGAAAGUGUGUGAGACCUAAAGGAAAGGACAUAGAAAAUGGAUCAAACUGAGGCUCUAGUAUUAGGAUAAAGGACUGAGAUAAAGGGCAAGAAGACAAGGAGCAAGGAUUCUGGAUUGUGCUUGGACAUGAGGACCUAGUGGAUGGGACUGGGAUCUAGUAAGCACUGGGAUUCAGUGGACGGGGUUUUAGGACUUGGAGGUGACCAGGGCCCAACUGCCAGAACAGUGGGCCCAAGGAAAGUGAGAAGGAAGCUCUUCUCAGAUGCAGGGCCUGCUGAGCACCAGGACAUUGCAGAGCUGAAUCCAGGUCCUGCCUGGGAGACCACAGCAGAGAGAGCUCCAGAGUGGAGGUGGGCUUGGACCCACAACUACAGGACAGUUCCAGAGGGGGGUGGACAAACACUCUGAGUUUAUAAACCUCUCUUUUUAGCCACCAACUCACCAAUUUAGUGUCAUUUGGCCAAUGAUCUGGCCAGACAGCACUGAAAUGAGGGGCUUUCUUAACCUUCCCCACCAAAAGCUAGUGGAUAAUAGGAUCUAGUGAGUGCAAGUAUGAUAUUGCAGUGAUUCUGAGACUGGUGGGACUUAGCCCUCGAGAUGCCAGGCCAGACCAGGCAGGCCAGUGGCUCUGGCCAGACCCUUUCCCGCUGCUGCGUGGGCGCUGGGACCCAGAGGACCGCGGCCCGAGGGGCACUAGGACCUAGCAGGGCCCUGGCGCCCAACAGGAUCAGAAAGGAUUGAAUGACAAGAAGCUGCUUGCGGUUCCGGACGUGCUGAAGGCGGCCCGGCCGCGGCAGGGGCUGAAAUAGACAGUGCGGCCACGUUAUGAAUCACUGCAGGGAUCAGUUCUGAACCAGGCUGCAGGAGCUGGAAGAACUUGGGUGCCAAGGCAGAGGUGCCGGCCUCCCUACAGCCAGCGACUUUGCAGUAGAACAGCGCACUGGAGCAAAGUGUUGACACACAGCAGCUACAGGGUCUUUGUCUAGCUUGGACUGCAGCUCCUUGGGACUGGGUCAUGAAAGCUGGAAUUCACUAAGAAGUACAUAACAACUCACCUGCUGAAUCAACUAGCCCUGAAAAUGGAUGGUGCUGGAGCACUGGACCCAUACUUGUGGGAGUUGGGCAAGGCUCCACCUCAGCUUGACUGAAUCCUGAAAUACCUUUGGACCAUGACAUUAUGGAUCAACAUGACAUUGUAGAAUCCCUCCAUGAUGAUGCAUCUCAAUGAAACAUCAUCAGGUUGCAACACCCUGGCAUUCUGCUGCAGUGUAACAACAUGCUAUUGCAAGCUGAUGUCCCUACUGCUUACAGAAGGGAAAGAUGAUGGAUCUGUAUCACGGACACAACCAGUAAGAUUUUCUUUAAGCUUGAGACUUCUGCACUGUUGCUGCUGAGAACACUGGAGCAAAAGAGAGGGCUGGGCACUUAGCCAAGUAUAUGACAAGCAGGAAAAGGAACAGGUGGUUGGGCUAGACAAUAGUGGAUCAUUCCUAGGAACACAGGAUUGUCCACAGACAUCUUCCUCAAGGUCCCCUUCACAGGCUUUAGCUUGUUACACAUGGACACACACACACGCACACACUGGAAUCCCAGGAAGGGGCUGCGACAAAUUCUCAUGGAGGCUGAAAUACCGUGGCUGUGAGCUCACCGAGUGACUAACUUGUUUAUCUCCUAUGGGAGCUGCUCCACUGCAAUCUAGCAUUUGGGAAGCAUUAGAUCUUAGCCAGCUUCUUUCCAAGUUGCAGUCACAUCCCCCACCCUCAAAAGAACACACUCUAAAAAUACAAAGCAAAAAAUGACACAUCACCCUGUUUCUUCUAAAAGAAAGUCAUUGCUAAUCACUCCAUUACUUUACUACAUCCUGUUGGAUUAGCACUAGAAAUAGUUCAAGUGGUUAAAACAAAUGGCAGAUGUCAGGGAAAUCAGAAGGCUUUUUGUAAGAAUCAAAGGCGUGAAUUUAAAAAAUUAAUGCAUGCAAAUUGUUGCUGUUGCAUGCCCAAAACAGAUACUGGCACAUACAAAAGGCUAAUUGUGCACAUAGUUGGCUGCCCGUGCAAGCAAAUGCCCGAUUUGCAUAUGCAGUCUCUGUAACUAUGCUUACCAUUUAAGUACACAAUUGCAUUUGUAUUUUUUGUGUGCGCCAAUCCAUUUAUUUUGAAAAUCAGCCCCUACACAUUUCUAAUAAUUUUUUCUACAUGGUAAAGUAAAAGUGCAGGUGGCAAUAAGUUACUCACAUCAAGGCAUGCUAAUUCUAUGCAUGGUGCCAGAGAAACCCACCUCAGAUCCAUAAUUUAAUAAGUGUUCCUAAAACAAUAGGGGUUCAUUUUGGAAUGGAAGGGGUCAGUUUUUCAAGCAGCCUUCAAAGCUGUAACUUAUGUCCAUAUCUCUUCAAUCUCUAGAUAUUUCACAGACAAUGAAGCUUAUGAGUUACCCAGCCCAACCAUGUUAACAAGGAUGAUUUUUUUCAAAUCACCCAAUUUAUUUAAUAUCAAUACAAAAACCCUGAUGAUAUAAAAACAGAAAUGAUGGGAACAACUAUGCAGCCCUGUCUUAAGUCUCAACCAUAAAAAUAUAGGUGUUAUCAGCCUUGCUGCUGCAGCUUUCAGUCAAAGGUAUGAGGAGUGAUACAAGUGCAUCUAAAUCACAGGGGCCUUUAUAGGUCAGAGCCAAUAACUUGAAUUCCACCUGGAAAUAAGCUGGGAGCCAUUUCAGUCAAUGCAGUACUCGUAUUAUUCACAUGAAAGGAGAGUAUAGUAUAAGUGUUUUUGGGUUCUGUGUUUGUCUUCCCAUUACAGAUGAAGAUAGAAAACGCAUCCAUGGACACUGCUUCUACCUGAGCUACUACACUAGGACUUUAAAGAUUAAUUUUAUUGUCUACACAGAAAGUGCCUACCAUUUCUGUAUUUUCUCGCAUGCAACACACCUUUUCCCAUAGGCAAUGUGUAGGGAUUGGCCUUCACCAGCCGGGGCGCAGGGGUGCCGAGAGAAGCACCGGCAGCACCUCCGGUUUUGCUGCUGUCACUUCCUGUUUUGCCGCCAGUGUUUCCAGGGUCAGCAAUCGGCCACUGGGGGGAAUCAGCAAUCAGCCACUGGUUCCCACCCCUCCCACCUCCCGCAUGACUUUUCCCCAAAAACCAGCCAAUGGAAAUUUGAUUGUGCAUUAUAUGCAAGAAAUAUGGUAAGAGCAGGUUCUGUUGCUUACCAAUUGAAAUCAAAGUACAAUCUGCAGUGAUCCUCAGUGGGCGCAUCUACACAUGCAUUUGCUCUCAAGGAAACUACUUGAGAGUAAACACUCCUGGGCACACGUCUACA